ensembl:lncRNA
AAAAAAAAAAGGCCAAGCUUAAGAAAGAAAGUACCCUAGUAAGCUAGGGAUUAUAUAUAUAUGUCUCUCAUAUAUGAGAGAGCCUUUUAUAAAAUAUAAAUCUAGGGAACUUCAAUCCCAGGAUGAGACGUUAAAGGCAUAAAAGGAAAGAAUAGCCAUGAAACCAAUAUAGAUGAGCAGAGUUUUUAAACCAAAUAGAGUCAUCAAUUUUUCUUUAUUUUGUAACAAGCAUUAAAAUAAAAUUAGGUUAAAUAAGGCCACCUUAUAAAGAUGACAUCUAAGCUAACAGGAAAACAAGAAGAGUCAUCCUAGUUGGUCCCAACCACAUAUGCCUGGUUGAUUCGCCCCCAUCAAUUCCAACUCACUUCUUCCACGGUCUGCGAUGGUCUCUGCCCCCAAUCUGUCCUUCAUUCUGAGCGCUGUCUCUGCUCAAACACAUCAUGGUUUCAUGGCCUGCUUGAACUAGGAACUGCACCCGGGUGCUUCUCAUGCUAGAGCACCUCUAGUAUUUGACAAGCGGCAUACCAAAGACAGCAGAGAGCUGCCAACGUGAGCCAGGUCUCAGGAGCCCCAAUCCCCUUCCACAGUGCCUUAGAAGACUUAGAAGGAAAGGUGCCUGACUGCUUCUACAUCAGAACCUCUGCCCUCCUGCCACUUCAGAAGCAGCUUCUGUACAACUGCAUGUGUAUCUACAAUUAUCCCAAUAAAAAUUUCAAUUUAAAAAAAAAAAAAAAGGCAGCUUUUGGAGUUCCCAUUGUGGCUCAGUAGUAACGAACCCGACUAGUAUCCGUGAGGACACAGGUUCGAUCCCUGGCCUUGUUCGGUGGGUUAAAGGAUCCGUCAUUGCCGUGAGCUGUGCUGUAGGUCGCAGACGCAGCUCAGAUCCCGCGUUGCUGUGGCUCUGGUGUAGGUCUAGGUCGGCAGCUGCAGCUCUGAUUCGACCCCUAGCCUGGGAGCUUCCAUGUGCCACGGGUGUGGCCCUAAAAAACAAAAUAAAUAAAUAAAUAAAUAAAGAAGAAGAAGAAGAAAGAAAGAAACAGCACAGCUUUUUAAGCCUCAAAACUUCCCUAUAAACAAUAAAUAAUUGGUUCCCCUCCUUCCUCUCUCCAGUGUCAGCUUUUUAUAUACCACAGGCAUGAGGCUUUAGCAUGCCUAAAAAGGAAAGAUGAUAAUAAAAAAAGUUCAAAAUGAUGUUUAAAAUAUUUUAAUCACUAUCUUCCUCUUAGAAAAGAAUUUCUUUCUGAGAAGAGUUCAGGCCUCACAUAUAACUCAGAGUAUGGAAGAACAUCUAUCGCCUUUGGAUCCUGGAUUUGAGUUGACCCUGUCUCUCUGACGCUAGCUCUGCAACAAUGGGCAACCAGUUUCCUCAUCUGCAAAUCAAAUUAAGGGAACGUCAUAUUAAAUGAGAUAAUACGAGUCUGAUACUUGGUAAAUAAUAUCCACUCAAAAAACAAAUAAACAAGCAAACAAACACAGUUUAGCUGCCCUCUCUUCUUCACCUAAAAGGGAAUUUGGCAGGGGAGUGGGUGGCCUGCGCCCUGCAGCAGGUAAAAGUCCCGGGCCAGGGACCAAACCUGAGCCACAGCAGUGACUCAAGCUGCUACAGUGACAUCAAGGGGUCUUCAAACCCGCUAUGCCACAAGGGAACUCCCCUAAAGGAGAAUUUUAAAAGAUAAAGGUGAGAAAGAAUAUCCUACUGGUAAACUGAGCAGCUGAUGGUUAAACACUACCAGGUAAUUCUCCAUUAGCUUCAAUGCUAUAUUGCUAAGACUCAUCUACAAGAGGGGUAACCAUGUGAUCUAUCUAAAGAAACCCCGAUUUCAAACACGGACCCAUUAUUCCCACUAACAUCAAAAUAUUCCAGAAAUACACACAUUUCCAUUUCCAAACUAUAUCUCCCAGACAACCGUUCUACCUAGAAACAGCAUAAAAUUUUUUCAUUGGACAAUAGAGCCCACAUUCUGCUCAGGGAAAAAUGUGAUCACCGCAUCUACAAUAGGACAAAAGGACACUAAAAGUGCGGAGAGGUCAGGAAAACAAACCAGUGUUGCUGAGAAUUUAUUCCUACAUAGAAUUUUACAUAUUCUACCCUAAUGAGUCCACAUUUAUGCAACAACAUGAAUACAACAGCCAAAUGGACCAGGCUGAAACUGCAAGGACCCAGAUGAACCCCUAGGCACACAGCGUUUCCACAGUUACCAGCUAGAUCCAGAAAACUGAAAUUCAAACACCAAGCAUAUAUCUGACCCAGACAGUCGAAGAGGCAUCUGAACCAAAUGAGAACACCAAGUUUAUACCUAAAAUACAUCCCUGGUGGAGUCUGGAAGGCCCACAGCUCAACUACUAGUCCCUGCAGCUGAGCAGCACCACAAAGUCCGCUGUCACCCUGUGCUGAGGGCCUGAGACACACUGGGGAGUUGAGAAGCGGGCCAGAUUCAAGCCUGUGCCACAGCACAGAAGGCAGGUCCCCACCCCAGCUACAAUGCUACAUGGGUUGUGAACACGAAACACCUUUCCACCUCUACUGGGCUUAAAGUCACUGUCCAACUCCUUCUGUGGACACAGCCAGAAAGGGCCAUGAUACUCAGGGCAUAACGUAAAUAAACUGUGCCAACAGUCUGGAACCCUUUGGAAAGGAUGCCAGGAUUGACAAAAAUUAAAACAUAGAGAGGCUUGGGUUUCCCCGUCUGCUUCACAUUCUCAUGUUCCCAGUACCCACUUCCAGCAAAUAUCUCCCAAGUCCAGAAGGAAAGCCUUUCGGCAUCUGUCUUUAAUUUGGCCCUCCGCCCUCCUACUCCUUCUUCUUCCCCUCCUCUUCCUCCUCCCUCCUCCCCCUCCACAAAGAAUAUAUAGACACGUACACUUUUUUUUUUUUAAGGUCUCUUGAAAACAAAUGGAGAAGAGAUUAGAGAGGAAAGGAGACUAGAAUGGGGGAAGAUAAACUGGACCGGAGAAGAGGGCAGUUCACGGAACGAGGCACAAAGAGAGACCGAGACGGCUGCUCUUGAGCCCCAGCAGUAAGGGCUGUUUCUGAUUAGGUGAGUCCAAUUGCAGAGCUAGCUGCACAGGAAGUGCUCAGGGGCCCUCUUGGUCGGCCCCAUCCCAAACACACUGAAAACCUUUGUACUAGAGCAGGCCCAUCUGGAAUCAGUUAGGACCAGGCUCUUUGCAGGCCUUUCCUUUAAACCAACCCCUUCCCCCCAGCAAAAAAAAAAGUCACACACACACACACACAGCCAACUCUCUAAAACCACCAGGCUGAGCUUUCCCACCCACAGCUUUCUCACCCCUUCCCCCCAAAUCACCGUUCAGAAAACAUCUCUCCAUCUCCAGUUCUGGGGUCACCACAAACAAAAGAGGCAUAUAAGAAUAUAAAACAUUCAGAGAACCAGCAUCCUCAUCAGGCCCAGCCUCCCUCCCCCAGAAAAUUACAGUAUUAAUUUUAAAAUAAUUAAAAUCCUGCUUUACACAAUAUGGAAUUUUUUUAAUGUUAUUUUUAGGAAUUCAAAGUGGCCGACUUUUUUCUUUAAGCAUUUAAAUGAAGCAUAUCCUUUAUGAAACUUUUUUCUUUUUGUCUGUCUCCUACAUCAGAAGCAAAAAAAAAAAAAAACAGAAAAAGAGAAACUUUGGGAUAGUUCCGCCUCUCAAAAGGGAAAAAGGUUUUGCACUCACACUCCUAAGUUAAAUCGCCAAUAUUCGUUUUUGCAGGAAGUCGGGUUUAGUGAUGCUCUUGGGUAAUGUUGCAAAUGCCUAGAACUGAGACCCGGCAGACCUGGAGGACAGUCUUGAGGGUAAUUAAUUCGCCGUGUGGGUCUUUCUGGGUCUCUGUCUUUUCGCUGGUAAAACAUGGGCAUGAGGCAGAUUCUCUAAGAUCAUUUCCAGCAUCACUGCCCCCUCUCAUUCCACACACCUAACAGAAAUAGGAGUGGUACAUGAUUAGCCUCCAGCUUCACCCAGGAGGCACACCGUUAAAGCAAUUUUUUUUUACUGUCCCCAAAGGCCAUACAGAAAGGAGUUCGGUGUGUCGUGGGGGAGAAUGGGCAGAGACUGUCAGCUGGCCUGACGCUUCUAUAACCCCCUUCACACUGCUUAGUGACGGCGUAACCAAGGCAGAGGGUAAAAAGGUUAAAGACAAGUCCCAGCCUGGUCACCUGGGCCCAGCAACCUGAUCAGAGAAGUGUGG